rfam:Stegodyphus mimosarum contig82735, whole genome shotgun sequence.
GCCUUCGUGGUGUAGUGGUCAGUACGCUCGACGCUUAACCAAGAGGUCCGUGGUUAGAGUCCCUGCGAAGGCA